GCUAAUACCGGAUAGGGUUUUGGAUCGCAUGAUCCGAAACGGAAAGAUGGCGCAAGCUAUUACUUACAGAUGGGCCUGCGGCGCAUUAGCUAGUUGGUGGGGUAACGGCCUACCAAGGCGACGAUGCGUAGCCGACCUGAGAGGGUGACCGGCCACACUGGGACUGAGACACGGCCCAGACUCCUACGGGAGGCAGCAGUAGGGAAUUUUCCACAAUGGACGAAAGUCUGAUGGAGCAACGCCGCGUGAACGAUGAAGGCUCUCGGGUCGUAAAGUUCUGUUGUUAGGGACGAACAAGUGCCGUUCGAACAGGGCGGCACCUUGACGGUACCUAACGAGAAAGCCACGGCUAACUACGUGCCAGCAGCCGCGGUAAUACGUAGGUGGCAAGCGUUGUCCGGAAUUAUUGGGCGUAAAGCGCGCGCAGGCGGUUAUGUAAGUCUGAUGUUAAAGCCCGGGGCUCAACCUCGGUCCGCAUUGGAAACUGCGUAACUUGAGUGCAGAAGAGGAAAGUGGUAUUCCACGNGUNNCGGUGAAAUGCGUAGAGAUGUGGAGGAACACCAGUGGCGAAGNNNNNNUUCNGGUCUGUAACUNAC
rnacentral:rRNA from 1 species